rnacentral:piRNA from 1 species
UUAGGAGUAGAAAAAUGAAAACC